rnacentral:rRNA from 1 species
AGCGGAGCGUGUGGUUUAAUUCGAUGCAACGCGAAGAACUUACCAAGGCUUGACAUGCCAGAAUAGGAAACUCGAAAGAGAGACCACCUGUAUCCAGUCAGGAACUGGCACAGGUGCUGCAUGGCUGUCGUCAGCUCGUGCCGUGAGGUGUUAGGUUAAGUCCUGCAACGAGCGCAACCCUCGUCGCUAGUUGUUUUCUCUAGCGAUACUGCCCGUAUAACGUGGAGGAAGGUGGGGAUGACGUCAAGUCAGCAUGGCCCUUACAUCCUGGGCUACACACACGCUACAAUGGGUGAUACAACAGGUUGCAAUAGAGUAAUCUGGAGCCAAUCCCUAAAAUCAUCCUCAGUACGGAUUGCAGGCUGCAACUGCCUGCAUGAAGUUGGAGUUGCUAGUAAACGCAGGUCAGCACACUGCGUUGAAUACGUUCUCGGGCCUU